UACAGAGGUCUCAAGCGUUGUUCGGAUUCAUUGGGCGUAAAGGGUGCGUAGGCGGUAAGGCAAGUCAGGUGUGAAAUCCCGGAGCUCAACUCCGGAACUGCACUUGAUACUGCCCUGCUAGAGUACUGGAGAGGAGACUGGAAUUUACGGUGUAGCAGUGAAAUGCGUAGAUAUCGUAAGGAAGACCAGUGGCGAAGGCGAGUCUCUGGACAGUUACUGACGCUGAGGCACGAAGGCCAGGGGAGCAAACGGG
rnacentral:rRNA from 1 species